GGAGGGCAUUUUGUGCCUCGCCUCGCCCCGUAGCGACCGGGCCGCCGGGUUCCACGUCGGCCGCGCAGGCGCAGCAGCGCCUCCGCUCACCUGCUGCGGGGAGGGGGCCGAGAGGAGGAGGAGGAGGAGGAGGAGGAGGGGGCGGCGGCGGCGGCGGCGGCGGCGGGGGGAGGAGGAGGAGGAGGAGGAGGAGGAGGAGGAAGGCCGCGCCGCGCCGCCAUGUUCAAGAAGCUGAAGCAGAAGAUCAGCGAGGAGCAGGCGCCGCCGCGCCGGGCCGCCCCCCUGCAGCCGCAGGGAGCUGCGGAGCGGGCCCCUUCCAAGUCCCCUCCACUGUCUGACAAAAGAAGUAGAACAUCUUCAUUUACAGAUCAGAAUGAUGAAGGCUCCUUAACUCCAGACAAAGAGCUGCUAGCCGGGAUGAUAGCAGAACCUGCUUUUCUCUCUGAGUAUACUAUCUUUGCUUUGGAUCCCACCAAACAACCUAAGCCACAGAGUGACAGUGUGAAUUUACCUAAGCAACCAAUUCCCAGAUCUGCAGAAAACAAUGGAAGUGAACCAGCCUCUCCACAGCCAAGUGACACUCAGUCUUUCGCCCAGCGCCUUCAGCUCCGUGUGCCCUCCAUGGAGUCAUUAUUUCGAAGCCCAGUAAAAGAGUCCCUGUUCCGCUCUUCUUCUAAAGAGUCCCUGGUACGAACGUCCUCAAGAGAUUCACUGAAUCGGCUGGACGUGGAUGCAGCUGGUCCCACCUUCGAUCCACCUUCUGACAUCGAAAGCGAGACUGAGGAGGCCCCAGGAAAUGCAGACAGCCUCAGCAAGGAACAGCUACUGCAGCGACUGCGCCGAAUGGAGCGCAGCUUGGGCAACUACAGAGGAAAAUAUGCAGAGCUAGUGUCUGCUUAUCAAGUUAUCCAGCGAGAGAAGAAGAAGCUACAGGGCAUUCUGAGUCAAAGUCAGGAUAAAGCACUUCGCAGAAUUGGAGAACUGAGAGAGGAGCUCCAGAUGGAUCAACAAGCUAAGAAACAUCUUCAGGAGGAAUUUGAUGCUUCCUUGGAAGAAAAAGAUCAACUUAUUAGUGUCUUGCAAACUCAGGUAUCGUUGCUGAAACAGAGGUUACAGAAUGGUCAGAUGGGCAUUGAAUUACCUGAUCCAAAUAUCCAGUCUGACCCACAAGUUCAAGGUCCAACAAAAGAAAUCAGUGCAGAAAAUAUUGCGGAACCAGGAAGCAAUGAGGGUAAUGAAGAUUCUGUUAAAACACUGGAAACUCUUAAUCAGAGGGUGAAGCGCCAAGAGAACUUGCUGCAGCGCUGUAAGGAGAUGAUUCGGUCACACAAAGAGCGCUGUGCCCAGCUAACCAACGAGAAGGAGGCGCUUCAGGAGCAAUUAGAAGAGAGACUUCAGGAGCUAGAGAAAAUGAAGGACCUCCACAUGGCUGAGAAGACUAAACUGAUUACACAGCUGCGUGAUGCAAAGAACUUGAUUGAGCAGCUAGAACAAGACAAGGGCAUGGUAAUUGCAGAGACAAAGCGACAAAUGCACGAAACAUUGGAAAUGAAGGAAGAAGAGGUAGCACAGUUGCGUGCUCGGAUCAAACAAAUAACUACAAAAGGCGAGGAAUUAAAAGAACAGAAAGAAAAGUCUGAAAAAGCUGCUUUUGAAGAGCUUGAGAAGGCUCUGAGUAUUGCCCAAAAAACAGAGGAAGCCCGGAAAAAAUUGCAGGCAGAAAUGGAUGAAAAAAUCAAAGCAGUAGAAAAGGCAAAUGAGGAAGAAAGGGUAAAUCUUCAACAGGAGUUAACCAGAGUGAAACAAGAGGUGGUUGAGAUUAUGAAGAAGUCUUCAGAAGAUCGUGUUGCUGAACUGGAAAAAUUACACAAAAAGGAAAUGGCUACCAAAGAUCGGGAGCUAAAUGAGAGAUUGCGGGUCCAAGAAAAGGAGUUCCAUGAGAAGAUGAAGGCAGCUCUUGAGAAAAAUCAGAGUGAGUGUUUAAAAACCCUUAAAGAACAAGAGCAACAGGAAUCCCUAGCCUUAGAAGAAUUAGAGCUGCAGAAGAAAGCAAUACAGGCAGAAUGUGACAAGAAGCUUCAGGAGAUGCAUCAAGAAGUAGAGGCUUCUAGAACUAAGAUCCUUGAAUUGGAGAGCUCUCUUGCAAAGUAUUCACAAGAUGACAGAGACCGAUCAGAGGAAUUGAGCACUCUGAUGGAGUCUGAAAAAAAGCAGCAUAAUAAGGAAAUUAAUGAUAUGGUUGAAAAACACAAGAAAGAAUUGGAGAACAUGCAACAGCAGCAGGGAAAGCUUUGGACAGAAAAACUUCAAAUUCUAAAGCAACAACAUGCAGUUGAAAUAGAAAAAAUGAGAGAAAAGCAAGAACAAGAAAUAGAUACAAUAUUGAAAGAGAAAGAAACAGUUUUCCGUACACAUAUAGAAGAGAUGAAUGAAAAAACUUUAGAAAAACUUGAUGUGAAACAAACUGAGUUAGAAGCACUGUCAUCUGAGCUAUCAGAAGCACUAAAAGUACGUCAUGAUUUAGAGAAAGAACUCUCAGAAUUGAAAAGUAAAGUAGGUGAAGCAAAGCAAGAAUUGGAAGGAAAGUUGGAAGAAGAGAGGAAUCAGCACAAAGAAGAGGUUGAACUUAUGUUAAAAGAGCAUGAGAUCUCUAUUCAAGGAGUUGAGAAGGUACUCAAAGAAGAACUGAAUCAACUCAAGCAAUUAUUGGAGGAGAAGGACAGACAUCUGGAGGAAAUAAAAGUACAUGAGCAGAAGCUAAAAGAAUCUGCAGAAAGAUCUGAAGCUGAACUUGUCCAAGUGUCCAAAAAACUAGAGGAGGUUUCGCAGUCUCAUCAGAAUACUUCUAAUGAGCAGGCAAGGACAUAUGAAGAGGAAUUAGCAAAGCUGCAGCACAAACUGACAGAUCUGGAAGGAGAAAAAUCACAAUUUAGGGAGCAGUUAGAAAGAGCUGAAUCCCAGCUGAAUGAAGUCAAGAAUGAGUUAGAAUCACACAUGUCCCAGCUACAUGACCUGAAGCAGCAUUUGCAAGAGCAAAGCAAUGAAAAUACACAGAAAGUAGCCUCUCUCACACAACAAUAUGAAUCUCAACUGAAGGAUCUACAAAGAGAGGCUGAUGAGACAAAGCAAAGUCUAACUGAGAAGGAAAAGGAAAUUGAACACAUGAAGAAGUUACAGAAUGAACAAGUUGAAGAGCUUAAACAGAAAUUGUUAGCCACAGAGGAAAGAACUAGUGCUUUACAAGGAGAAUGUGAAAAUAAACUGAAACGACAGGAAAAUAAAAUGGAGAAAAUGAAGCAGAAAUCAAAAGAUAUGCAGGAAGCCUUUAAAAAGAAAAUUGCCGAGCAGGAAUCUAAACUAAAAAGAGAGCUUGAAAACAAGCAGUUGGAGUUCAGUCAGAAAGAGAGCGAAUUCAAUGCUAAAAUGCUAGAAAUGGCACAUGCCAGCUCAGCCGGAAUCAAUGAUGCUGUGUCAAAACUGGAAUCUAAUCAGAAAGAGCAACUGGAGAGUCUUGCUGAGGCUCAUAGGAGGGAAUUGGAAGAAAUUACCCAGAGCUGGGAAAAGAAACUCAAUCAGCAGGUUGAAGAGCUCCAGGAAAAACAUGAAAUGGAACUGCAAGAGAAAGAGCAGGAAGUUGGAGACCUGAAACAGAAACUUGCCACCUUCAGUGCUGAGAAGGAGGGCUCCAGGACAGAAAUAACCCGACUGAAGGAAGAACAGGUGAAGAGGGAUGAGACCCUGAACCAAUUACAAGAACAGCUAAAGCAGUCAUUCGCUCAUGUGAAUGCUUUGUCAAAUAGUGAAAGUGACCUGAAAACACAGCUCCAGAAGUUGGAAGGUGAUCUUAGUCAGUCCCUGAAAGAGCAAUCAGGGCUUCAGGAACAGCUCAGUAAACAGAAAGCAAUCGAAGAAAAGGACAAAGCCAAAAUUACUGAGCUGGCUGAUAUGCUGAAAACACUUGAGGAGAAGCUCCAAACUGUGCAAUUUUCUCAAGAUAAAGAUCAUGAAAAUUAUGAGAAAAAAAUGAAGGCAUUUCAACAACAAGAAACUGAGUUUAAGAGGUUGUCGGGAGAGCUUGUAGCACAAUUGGAUGCUUAUUGGAAGAAUGCUGAAGAUCUGUUGCAAACGAAAAUCAGUGAAUUAAUUGAAAAGUGUAAUGAAAAAAUUGGUGUAGUAACAUGCAAAAUUGCAGAUUGUGAGCGCCAAACUACAAAAGUUAAAGAAGCGAUAUUAGCUAAAAUAAAUAAAAUUCUUGAGCUGGAAGCUCAACUUAGAGUAGUAACAGAGAAUCAUUCUGCUGCAAGUAGUUCUUUACAAAAGUCAAUGGAGCAACUGCAAGAGAAAGACAACUUAAUUAGGUCCAUGAGAGCUGAUAUUGAAGGACUUGUAGCAGAAAAGGAACAAUUGCAAAAAGAAGGAGGGCACCAGCAGCAGGCAGCAUCAGAAAAAGAAACUUGCAUAACUCAGCUCAGGAAAGAGUUAUCUGAAAAUAUCAACGCUGUCACCUCAAUGAGAGAGGAACUCCAGGAAAAAGAAUCAGAGAUCUCUGCUCUCAACAGAACAAUUAAUGAGCUUAAUGUUAAACUUGAAAGUAUGGUAAGUUUAACAGAGAAGGAAGAAGCCAUGUCUGUGUUAAGCAAGCAACAUCAAGAGGAUCGAUUGCAGUUGUUAAACCAGGUACAGGAGUUAUCGACCAGUGUUGAGACGCUGAGUCAGGAAAAAGCAUCAGCUCUCGAGCAGGUAGAUCAUUGGACAGCCAAGCUGUCAGAGUGGAAGAUGAAAGCACAAACAAGAUUUACACAAAAUCAUGAAGCUAUUAAAGAUUUGCAGAGCAAACUUGAACUAAGCAAUACCCAAGCCAAUAGAAAAGAUGAAGAGCUAAAUAAGUUGAAAGAGGAGCUGGCUAAACAAGGCAAAAGUCUGGAUAGCUUAAAAAGUGCAUUGGAACAAAAGCAAAACAGGAUAGAAAAACAAGAAAGUGAGUUAACUGCAGAGUUAAAAAUCCAAGCAGCAAGAGUUGCCGAACUAGAAGAAUGCAUUGCUCAGAAAACUUCAGAAAAUGAUUCCUUGAUGGAGGAACUUAAAAAGUAUAAUGAACAGAAAGAGACAGAGCAAAAAGAGGUAGCUUGGCAACUCCAGCAGGCAGAGAAGGUGGCUUUUGAAAAAGACAAUAGGUUUAAAGAGGCUGAAGAAAAGGUGCUCGAUCUUGAAAAGAAAAUAGAUUCAAUCAAAGCUGAAUUUGAAGCAAAAGAGAGGGAAUUUGUUCAAAUGAAAUCAUCAAUACUUAAAAGCAAGGAGGAAGAACUGAAAGAAUUAGAAGAGAGACUGAAUGCAGAGAGUGGCACUAAGUUGGCAGAUCUGAAAAAAAAGGCAGAGCAAAAAAUCGGUUCUAUUAAAAAGCAAUUAAUGUCUCAGAUGGAAGAAAGGGAACAGCAAUUUAAGCAAGAUAGAGAAAAUCAGUUAAGAGACUUAGAACAAAAAGUGCAGGAAAGAGAGGCCAAAAUUGGAUCCUUAAAAGAACAAAUCCAAAAGUCAACAAGAGAGUCUACAGAAUUAGAGAAGGAAAUGCUGCAAAAAGUAGAGAGUGCAAAAGCUGCUGUAGAGCAAGAAAAAAAUGAAAUGCUUGAGAGUGUCCAGCGGACGUAUGAAGAGAAAAUUCAUGUGUUACGGAAGGACCUGACAGAAAAAGAUGAAUUGUUGCAGAAGUAUGAAAAGGAACAACAAGAAUGUAAAGACUGUCAUCUGGAACUGCAAAACAAACUGGAGGAACUCCUUAAAAAAUUAGAAUGUGUUGAGAAGAGAAAUCACGAGGAGCAGAGUGUGACUGAAAGCCUCAGGAAAGAGCUUAAGGAGCAAACUAAAAAAUACUCAUUGUUAGUGGAUGAGCAUGCUCGGUGUGGUGGUGAUUUAGCAAGCAGUAGGGAAGAAUUGAAAGCUAAAGAACAAAAGCAUUUGGAUAUGGAGAACAUAAUUGGAGAUUUCCAGAAAAAAUUGCAGGAAAAAGAGUCAGUCAGUCAAUCUUUAGAACAGAAGGUAAGAGAGUUGGAAAAUAAUCUGGUGAGGGUAAAUGAAGUGCACAGGAUGGAGAUGGAUGAUGCGAGUUCGAAAUACAAAUUAAAACUAGAAAGUUUACAGCAACAGCUGGAGGAAAGAAAUGACCGCUUGAAAGCUUUUGAGGAAAACGUUGAAGAAAAGACUAAAUCUGGUUUGGAGCUGCAGAAGUUACUAGGUGAUAUGCAGAACCAGCAGAAGGAUUUGCAGGCUAAACUGGAAGAGACUGAAAGAGAGAAACAAAAACUACGUAAAGAUGUAAACAAUCUUCAAAAAGACUUGCGUACUUUGCGAAAAGAGCAUCAGCAGGAGCUUGACAUAGUUAAGAAAGAGUCCUUAGAAGAAAUGGAGCAGAAAAUCAGGUGGGAACAAGAAGAUACUGAAUUAAAGCACAACUCCACGUUAAAGCAGUUAAUGAGAGAGUUCAAUACUCAGCUGGCUCAAAAAGAAAUGGAAUUGGAAACAGCCUUAAAAGAGACGAUCAGUAAAGCCCAGGAAGUAGAAUCUGAAUUGAUAGAAAACCAUCACAUAGAGACAAUGCAGUUGCAUAAAAAAAUCGCAGAAAAAGACGAUGAUCUAAAAAGAACUGUGGAAAAAUAUGAAGAAAUGCUUGAGGCUCGUGAAGAAGAAAUGACAGCAAAAGUUCAUGAGUUGCAGGCACAGUUAGAAGAAUUGCAAAAGGAAUACAAGCAAAGGAUGGCAGAAGAGGAGCAUCGAAACCAUGAAAAUGUGACAAUAGCAGAACUUAAGGCACAGCUGGCACAGAAGACAACACUAGUCAAUGAUUCAAAGUUGAAAGAGCAGGAGCUCAAAGAGCAGAUUCACGUACUGGAAGACCAGCUGAAAAAUUUUGAGAAGAAUGUUUAUGUUACAUCAGUUGGAACGCCAUAUAGAGAUGGAAACCUUCACCGUACUGAUGUUUCUCUCUUUGGAGAGCCUACUGAAUUUGAAUACUUGAGGAAAGUGCUCUUUGAAUAUAUGAUGGGUCGUGAGACUAAGACAAUGGCCAAGGUUAUAACAACAGUUCUGAAGUUCCCAGCUGAUCAGACUCAGAAGAUACUAGAACGAGAAGAUGCUCGACCAUUGUCUAACUGCGGCAAUCUCAUUUGUAAGCAGUAGAUGUCCACAGAGUUCUUACCUACACUAUUAACCACGUAGUCCAAUAAGCUGUUUUCUUCCUGGCUUUGUAGUUUGCCUCACCUCGCAGUGGUAUCUUCUGAAUAUUCCAUCAGUCUGUGCUUAGUUAGCAUGUGGUCAUGGCUACGACCAUCUUGAAGAAAUUGUGAUGAGAAUGUCUCAUAACAGUGCUGCUUAGAAAUUCGUUCAUAUCUCCCUUGUUGCCCCUUUUGAGGGGACAAGAAGAGAAGCUGUUAUUCAAGGUCACAAAUGGAACAGCAAGAACCAAAGCUUAGCACCACCUUUGGACCAUGGAUAUAGUUAAAACUGCCUUGACAAGAAACGCUAAUCAGGGGUUAUCUGGUGAUGAGUCUUUUUUCUCUUCUAUUGAAUACUGUCUUCUAUUUUGUGUUAAAGGUUAUUUUUUUAAAAGAGAGAAAAGACUAUCCUAGGAGGGAAUUGCCCGCUACUGUAUCUCUAUACAGAUUUCACUGGGUGUUUUUUAAGAGUUGAACUAAAUGGUUUGUCUCUUCUAUUUAUUUUUUUAUUUUUUUGAAUGAAUUGUGCAAUACAUUUUUGGAUGGAUAGCAGUUGAGGUGAUUUUCCUGAUGAACUGGGCACUUGUUUGACUACUCCUUUUCUGAUUUGAUCUUCUGAUUGUUUGCUAAAGAUCACUUCCUAUAUGCUUUUGCCUACAAUAAAUCGAGAUUGCAGUACCUCAUUUGUUUACUCCUAGCUUUUGUACUUAUAUUUUCUGGAGAAAAAGUACAUUACUGUAAAUUGUAAAUAGUUAAUACAUAACUGUAUCAUAUGCUGAUCUGACUGUCGACAGCACUAAUCUGACAGGAGCUGAGAUUAAAUAAAGUUUAUUUACUGUA